rnacentral:rRNA from 1 species
AUUGAACGCUGGCGGCAGGCCUAACACAUGCAAGUCGAGCGAGCGGCGGACGGGUGAGUAAUGUAUGGGGACUGCCCGAUAGAGGGGGAUAACUACUGGAAACGGUGGCUAAUACCGCAUACUAUCGGAUAACCCAUAUGGGAUUAGCUAGUCGGGGGGGUAAAGGCUGACCUAGGCGACGUUCUCUAGCUGGUCUGAGAGGAUGAGCAGCCACACUGGGACUUAGACGCGGCCCAGCCGCCUACGGAGGAAGCAGUGGGGAAUAUUGCACAAUGGGCGCAAGCCUGAUGCAGCCAUGCCGCGUGUAUGAAGAAGGCCUUAGGGUUGUAAAGUACUUUCAGCGGGGAGGCGUUACCCGCAGAAGAAGCACUGGCUAACUCCGUGCCAGCAGCCGCGGUAAUAC